CCUACGUGAGGCAGCAGUCGAGAAUCAUUCACAAUGGGCGAAACUCUGAUGCUGCGACGCCGCGUGGGGGAAUGAAGGUCUUCGGAUUGUAAACCCCUGUCAUGUGGGAGCAAAUUAAAAAGAUAGUAUUACAUGAGGAAGAGACGGCUAACUCUGUGCCAGCAGCCGCGGUAAUACAGAGGUCUCAAGCGUUGUUCGGAAUCACUGGGCGUAAAGCGUGCGUAGGCUGUUUCGUAAGUCGUGUGUGAAAGGCGCGGGCUCAACCCGCGGACGGCACAUGAUACUGCGAGACUAGAGUAAUGGAGGGGGAACCGGAAUUCUCGGUGUAGCAGUGAAAUGCGUAGAUAUCGAGAGGAACACUCGUGGCGAAGGCGGGUUCCUGGACAUUAACUGACGCUGAGGCACGAAGGCCAGGGGAGCGAAAGGGAUUAGAUACCCGAGUAGUC
rnacentral:rRNA from 1 species